GACGAACGCUGGCGGCGUGCUUAACACAUGCAAGUCGAACGGUAAGGCCCUUCGGGGUACACGAGUGGCGAACGGGUGAGUAACACGUGGGUGAUCUGCCCUGCACUUCGGGAUAAGCCUGGGAAACUGGGUCUAAUACCGGAUAGGACUCCUGGCUUCAUGGUUGGGGGUGGAAAGCUUUUGCGGUGUGGGAUGGGCUCGCGGCCUACCAGCUUGUUGGUGGGGUAAUGGCCUACCAAGGCGACGACGGGUAGCCGGCCUGAGAGGGUGACCGGUCACACUGGGACUGAGAUACGGCCCAGACUCCUACGGGAGGCAGCAGAGGGGAAUAUUGCACAAUGGGCGCAAGCCUGAUGCAGCGACGCCGCGUGAGGGAUGGCGGCCUUCGGGUUGUAAACCUCUUUCAGCUAUGACGAAGCGCAAGUGACGGUAGUAGCAGAAGAAGGACCGGCCAACUACGUGCCAGCCGCCGCCGUAA
rnacentral:rRNA from 1 species